rnacentral:rRNA from 1 species
CGCACGGGUGAGUAACACGUAUGCAACCUGCCUGCCACAGCCGGAUAAUCGGGAGAAAUUCCGUCUAAUACGGCAUAAUGCAUCGACGGGACAUCCUGUUGGUGCCAAAGGUUAAUUCCGGUGGCGGAUGGGCAUGCGUCGCAUUAGUUAGUUGGCGGUGUAACGGACCACCAAGACGACGAUGCGUAGGGGUUCUGAGAGGAAGGUCCCCCACACUGGUACUGAGACACGGACCAGGCUCCUACGGAAGGCAGCAG